rnacentral:misc_RNA from 1 species
GUUAAGAUUCAGAAGGAUAGUGAAGUGCGAUUGAAGAUAAUUGGGACUCGAGUUGAUGCUACAGAAAUUUUUUGCAUCGGCACUAUAAAGGAUGAUUUCCUGGGAGUGAUAAACGAUCCAGCAACUGCUUAGUGGAUUUGUUUACCCGAAUCUUCCAUGGCAUCAAAGUUUCCCUAUUGGAAUGCAUUCUCUUCUUACUGGUUCUUGUAUAUUUUCGGAGGGAAUUUUUUUCCUUUACUCAUAAUCUUAAGAAACAC